AGCAGCCGCGGUAAUUCCAGCUCCAAUAGCGUAUAUUAAAGUUGUUGCAGUUAAAAAGCUCGUAGUUGAAUUUCGGGAUCAAUGUUUCGGUCAUGCCCUUGGUAUGUACUGAUAUUAUUGGUUUCUCACCUUCUAAGGAACCGUAAUGCCAUUAAUUUGGUGUCACGGGGAAUUAGGACUGUUACCUUGAAAAAAUUAGAGUGUUUAAAGCAGGCUCACGCUUGAAUACAUUAGCAUGGAAUAAUGAAAUAGGACAUCCGAUUCUAUUUUGUUGGUUUCUAGGAUCGAUGUAAUGAUUAAUAGGGAUAGUUGGGGGCAUUAGUAUUCAAUUGUCAGAGGUGAAAUUCUUGGAUUUAUUGAAGACUAACUACUGCGAAAGCAUUUGCCAAGGAUGUUUUCAUUAAUCAAGAACGAAAGUUAGGGGAUCGAAGACGAUCAGAUACCGUCGUAGUCUUAACCAUAAACUAUGCCGACUAGGGAUCGGAUGAUGUUAAUUUUUUAAUGACUCA
rnacentral:rRNA from 1 species